rnacentral:rRNA from 1 species
AUUGAACGCUGGCGGAAUGCUUUACACAUGCAAGUCGAGCGGCAGCGCGGGGGCAACCCUGGCGGCGAGCGGCGAACGGGUGAGUAACAUAUCGGAACGUACCCCGUCGUGGGGGAUAACACAGCGAAAGCUGUGCUAAUACCGCAUACGACCUGAGGGUGAAAGCGGGGGAUCGCAAGACCUCGCGCGAUGGGAGCGGCCGAUAUCGGAUUAGCUUGUUGGUGAGGUAAAGGCUCACCAAGGCGACGAUCCGUAGCUGGUCUGAGAGGACGACCAGCCACACUGGAACUGAGACACGGUCCAGACUCCUACGGGAGGCAGCAGUGGGGAAUUUUGGACAAUGGGGGCAACCCUGAUCCAGCCAUUCCGCGUGAGUGAAGAAGGCCUUCGGGUUGUUAAA